CCGAGUUUAUUCAACUCCCACCCUUUGUUAAUUAUACUUUUGUUGCUUUGGCGAGCCUGCCCUAGGCUACCGGCUGUCUCUGACAGCGGGUUCGUGCUCGCCAGAGGACCAAAACUCUUAUUUUUUUGUAUUGUCUAAUUCAUGAUUUAAUUCAUAUA
rnacentral:misc_RNA from 1 species